CAUUAAAUCAGGCAGCAGGACAGCAGCUGUGGGCUCAAUGUGUUCUGCUGACAGCCGGGGACUCGCUUUAUGGUGCUCAGUGGAUUAGCUGGAGACAUGACAGAGUCCACAGCCCACUUGUUUGAGAGGAAUCACCUUAAAUUUCUUGGUCUUUUGGUGUCAGAAACAUCCAAUUUACACUGUAGAGGAAACCUGUCGUCAGAUAAAGGGCAUCCAGGUUUUUGCUUUUCCCUGAUGGAUCCUUACAAAACUGACUCUGCCACCUCACUGUGGGAAGGAUUAGAGAUGACGAUAAGGAUAAAACUGAUGAGGAUCUAGAGAAAACAGGCAAAACAAAUAUACUCAAUGUUUUCUGCGGGAUGUUUUCAUCAGUUCACAAAACCCCGCACUGCAAGGCGUGAAAGUUUGGCUGCCUGUCCUUCCCUCGCUGUGCAAGGAGCUGUGCUGUCCCUUCCCUUGGAACCAAGCCCUUGUUCAUCACCAAACCCUGCUGUUCCAGCUUCUCCUUUCC